rnacentral:rRNA from 1 species
GAUGAACGCUAGCGAUAGGCUUAACACAUGCAAGUCGAGGGGCAGCAUGGUCUUAGCUUGCUAAGGCUGAUGGCGACCGGCGCACGGGUGCGUAACGCGUAUGCAACUUGCCUCACAGAGGGGGAUAACCCGUCGAAAGACGGACUAAUACCGCGUACACUCUAUGUUGGGCAUCCAAUGUAGAGGAAAUGAAAUUCGCUGUGAGAUAGGCAUGCGUCCCAUUAGCUAGUUGGUGAGGUAACGGCUCACCAAGGCGACGAUGGGUAGGGGAACUGAGAGGUGGAACCCCCACGCUGGUACCGAGACACGGACCAGACUCCUACGGGAGGCAGCAGUGAGGAAUAUUGGGCAAUGGGCGAGAGCCUGAACCAGCCAAGUCGCGUGAAGGAUGACUGUCUGAUGGAUUGUAAACUUCUUUUAUACGGGGAUAACAAGAGUCACGUGUGGCUCCCUGCAUGUACCGUAUGAAUAAGCAUCGGCUAACUCCGUG